rnacentral:snRNA from 1 species
AUCACUUCCCGGCCUUUUGGCUAAGAUCAAGUGUAGUAUCUGUUCUUACCAGUUUUCAUUCUUUUUUAUGGAUGGAUAGGUAAUAUUCUAUUAUAUACAUAUAUACACACACGCACACGGUAUCUUUA